rnacentral:rRNA from 1 species
GAUGAACGCUGACAGAAUGCUUAACACAUGCAAGUCUACUUGAACUUCGGUUUGGGUGGCGGACGGGUGAGUAACGCGUAAAGAACUUGCCUCACAGUUAGGGACAACAUUUGGAAACGAAUGCUAAUACCUGAUAUUAUGAUUUUAGGGCAUCCUAAGAUUAUGAAAGCUAUAUGCACUGUGAGAGAGCUUUGCGUCCCAUUAGCUAGUUGGAGAGGUAACGGCUCACCAAGGCGAUGAUGGGUAGCCGGCCUGAGAGGGUGAACGGCCACAAGGGGACUGAGACACGGCCCUUACUCCUACGGGAGGCAGCAGUGGGGAAUAUUGGACAAUGGACCAAAAGUCUGAUCCAGCAAUUCUGUGUGCACGAUGACGUUUUUCGGAAUGUAAAGUGCUUACAGUUGGGAAGAAAAAAAUGACGGUACCAACAGAAGAAGUGACGGCUAAAUACGUG